GGGCCUGUAGCUCAGUUGGUUAGAGCAUUCCUCUGAUAAGGGAAAGGUCACUGGUUCGAGCCCAGUCAGGCCCACUA
rnacentral:tRNA from 1 species